rnacentral:rRNA from 1 species
AGUUUGAUCCUGGCUCAGAUUGAACGCUGGCGGCAGGCCUAACACAUGCAAGUCGAGCGGAUGAAAGGAGCUUGCUCCUGGAUUCAGCGGCGGACGGGUGAGUAAUGCCUAGGAAUCUGCCUGGUAGUGGGGGACAACGUUUCGAAAGGAACGCUAAUACCGCAUACGUCCUACGGGAGAAAGCAGGGGACCUUCGGGCCUUGCGCUAUCAGAUGAGCCUAGGUCGGAUUAGCUAGUUGGUGAGGUAAUGGCUCACCAAGGCGACGAUCCGUAACUGGUCUGAGAGGAUGAUCAGUCACACUGGAACUGAGACACGGUCCAGACUCCUACGGGAGGCAGCAGUGGGGAAUAUUGGACAAUGGGCGAAAGCCUGAUCCAGCCAUGCCGCGUGUGUGAAGAAGGUCUUCGGAUUGUAAAGCACUUUAAGUUGGGAGGAAGGGCAGUAAAUUAAUACUUUGCUGUUUUGACGUUACCGACAGAAUAAGCACCGGCUAACUCUGUGCCAGCAGCCGCGGUAAUACAGAGGGUGCAAGCGUUAAUCGGAAUUACUGGGCGUAAAGCGCGCGUAGGUGGUUCGUUAAGUUGGAUGUGAAAUCCCCGG